UACGUAGGUGGCAAGCGUUGUCCGGAUUUAUUGGGUUUAAAGGGCGCGCAGGCGGCGCAUUUUGUCAGGCGUGAAAGCCCCGGGCUUAACCUGGGAACUGCGUUUGAUACGGAUGGGCUAGAGUUCGGGAGAGGAGAGUGGAAUUCCCAGUGUAGAGGUGAAAUUCGUAGAUAUUGGGAAGAACACCGGUGGCGAAGGCGGCUCUCUGGACCGAGACUGACGCUGAGGCGCGAAAGCGUGGGGAGCAAACAGG
rnacentral:rRNA from 1 species